UGGACGAAUUAUUGUAUUCGACUGUAUUCACGACGUGAAACAGGGGAUUACACUAUUUUUAAACGGAAAGUGAAUCAAUUAACAUAAUCGACUCCU
rnacentral:pre_miRNA from 1 species